rnacentral:rRNA from 1 species
GACGAACGCUGGCGGCGCGCCUAACACAUGCAAGUCGAACGAGAGAGAGGGAGCUUGCUUCCUCAAUCGAGUGGCGAACGGGUGAGUAACGCGUGAGGAACCUGCCUCAAAGAGGGGGACAACAGUUGGAAACGACUGCUAAUACCGCAUAAGCCCACGGGUCGGCAUCGACCAAAGGGAAAAGGAGCAAUCCGCUUUGAGAUGGCCUCGCGUCCGAUUAGCUAGUUGGUGAGGUACGGCCCACCAAGGCAACGAUCGGUAGCCGGACUGAGAGGUUGAACGGCCACAUUGGGACUGAGACACGGCCCAGACUCCUACGGGAGGCAGCAGUGGGGAAUAUUGCACAAUGGGGGAAACCCUGAUGCAGCGACGCCGCGUGGAGGAAGAAGGUCUUCGGAUUGUAAACUCCUGUUGUUGAGGAAGAUAAUGACGGUACUCAACAAGGAAGUGACGGCUAACUACGUGCCAGCAGCCGCGGUAAAACGUAGGUCACAAGCGUUGUCCGGAAUUACUGGGUGUAAAGGGAGCGCAGGCGGGAAGACAAGUUGGAAGUGAAAUCUAUGGGCUCAACCCAUAAACUGCUUUCAAAACUGUUUUUCUUGAGUAGUGCAGAGGUAGGCGGAAUUCCCGGUGUAGCGGUGGAAUGCGUAGAUAUCGGGAGGAACACCAGUGGCGAAGGCGGCCUACUGGGCACCAACUGACGCUGAGGCUCGAAAGUGUGGGUAGCAAACAGGAUUAGAUACCCUGGUAGUCCACACCGUAAACGAUGAUUACUAGGUGUUGGAGGAUUGACCCCUUCAGUGCCGCAGUUAACACAAUAAGUAAUCCACCUGGGGAGUACGACCGCAAGGUUGAAACUCAAAGGAAUUGACGGGGGCCCGCACAAGCAGUGGAGUAUGUGGUUUAAUUCGACGCAACGCGAAGAACCUUACCAAGUCUUGACAUCCUGCGACGAUGCUGGAAACAGUAUUUUCCUUCGGGACGCAGAGACAGGUGGUGCAUGGUUGUCGUCAGCUCGUGUCGUGAGAUGUUGGGUUAAGUCCCGCAACGAGCGCAACCCUUACUGUCAGUUACUACGCAAGAGGACUCUGGCAGGACUGCCGUUGACAAAACGGAGGAAGGUGGGGAUGACGUCAAAUCAUCAUGCCCUUUAUGACUUGGGCUACACACGUACUACAAUGGCGUUAAACAAAGAGAAGCAAGACCGCGAGGUGGAGCAAAACUCAGAAACAACGUCCCAGUUCGGACUGCAGGCUGCAACUCGCCUGCACGAAGUCGGAAUUGCUAGUAAUCGUGGAUCAGCAUGCCACGGUGAAUACGUUCCCGGGCCU